AUACGUAGGUGACAAGCGUUAUCCGGAUUUACUGGGCGUAAAGGGCGUGUAGGCGGUCUUGCAAGUCAGAAGUGAAAUUCCUGAGCUCAACUCGGGCGCUGCUUCUGAAACUGCAGGACUUGAGUGCUGGAGGGGAUAGCGGAAUUCCUAGUGGAGCGGUAAAAUGCGCAGAUAUUAGGAAGAACACCGGUGGCGAAGGCGGCUAUCUGGACAGUAACUGACGCUGAGGCGCGAAAGUGUGGGGAGCAAACAGGAUUAGAUACCCUGGUAGUCCACGCUGUAAACGAUGAUUACUAGGUGUGGGGGGACUGAACCCUUCCGUGCCGCAGUUAACACAAUAAGUCAUCCACCUGGGGAGUACGGCCGCAAGGUUGAAACUCAAAGGAAUUGGCGGGG
rnacentral:rRNA from 1 species